rnacentral:snRNA from 1 species
AGCUUUGCGCAGUGGCAGUAUCAUAGCCAAUGAGGUUUAUCUGAGGCGCGAUUAUUGCUAAUUGAAAAG